GCAGUAGCCACGGUAAUACGUAGGUGGCAAGCGUUGUCCGGAAUCACUGGGCGUAAAGGGUGCGUAGGCGGGUCUUUAAGUCAGGGGUGAAAUCCUGGAGCUCAACUCCAGAACUGCCUUUGAUACUGAAGAUCUUGAGUUCGGGAGAGGUGAGUGGAACUGCGAGCGUAGAGGUGAAAUUCGUAGAUAUUCGCAAGAACACCAGUGGCGAAGGCGGCUCACUGGCCCGAUACUGACGCUGAGGCACGAAAGCGUGGGGAGCAAACAGGAUUAGAUACCCCCGUAGUCCCUGUCUCUUAUAC
rnacentral:rRNA from 1 species